GGGUGUGAUCAUACCAAUGUUAAGGCAUCGGAUCCCAUCAGAACUCUGCAGUUAAGUGCGCUUGGGCUAGAGUAGUACUGGGAUGGGUGACCUCCCGGGAAGUCCUAGUGUUGCACCCU
rnacentral:rRNA from 1 species